rnacentral:rRNA from 1 species
CCACGGGGGAUUGCCCUUAGUACGGCGAGUGAGCGGCAAAAGCUCAAAUUUGAAAUCUGGCACCUUCGGUGUCCGAGUUGUAAUUUGAAGAAGGUAACUUUGGAGUUGGCUCUUGUCUAUGUUCCUUGGAACAGGACGUCACAGAGGGUGAGAAUCCCGUGCGAUGAGAUGCCCAAUUCUAUGUAAAGUGCUUUCGAAGAGUCGAGUUGUUUGGGAAUGCAGCUCUAAGUGGGUGGUAAAUUCCAUCUAAAGCUAAAUAUUGGCGAGAGACCGAUAGCGAACAAGUACAGUGAUGGAAAGAUGAAAAGAACUUUGAAAAGAGAGUGAAAAAGUACGUGAAAUUGUUGAAAGGGAAGGGCUUGAGAUCAGACUUGGUAUUUUGCGAUCCUUUCCUUCUUGGUUGGGUUCCUCGCAGCUUACUGGGCCAGCAUCGGUUUGGAUGGUAGGAUAAUGACUAAGGAAUGUGGCUCUACUUCGGUGGAGUGUUAUAGCCUUGGUUGAUACUGCCUGUCUAGACCGAGGACUGCGUCUUUUGACUAGGAUGUUGGCAUAAUGAUCUUAAGCCACCCGUCUUGAAAAAGGGGAACAAAACCGAGAUUAAAAAAAAAUUAAAAAUAACCAAAAAAAACAUAAGUUAAAAUAAUAUCAAAAAUAAUUAGGUUGGGUUGUUAGGGUUUUU